GUGCAGCAGUCGAGAAAACUUCACACUGUGCGAAAGCACGAUGAGGGAAUCCCAAGUGCUUGCACGUAAGUGUAAGCUGUUUCUCUGUCUAAAACGCAGAGAGAGUAAGGGCUGGGUAAGACGGGUGCCAGCCGCCGCGGUAAUACCUGCAGCUCAAGUGGUGACCGUUAUUAUUGGGCCUAAAACGUCCGUAGCCGGUUUAAUAAAUGCCUGGGUAAAUUGUGUAGCUUAACUAUACGAAUUCCGGGUAGACUGUUAAACUUGAGACCGGGAGAAGUUAGAGGUACUCCUGGGGUAGAGGUGAAAUUCUGUAAUCCUAGGGGGACCACCAGUGGCGAAGGCGUCUAACUAGAACGGGUCUGACGGUGAGGGACGAAGCCCUGGGGCGCAAAACGGGGAUUAGAUACCCCGGUAGU
rnacentral:rRNA from 1 species